AAAAAUUCCAAUGUUAGAGUUAGGCUACGAAGCCCCAGGUUACCAUACGCGUGUGCUGAGAAUGUUGGGAAAGGAAGGACAGCAAUCCAGUCUUUCUCUAGGUCAGUUUUACUUUGCAUCCAUGUAGAAAAACCCUUAAGGUACAGGAUUUGAAAGUGGCCUCCUGAGAGCAGGAAAAUGGGUCUGUCUGAGCCAUGGAGAUGAGAACUAAGGAGGGCAUUGUCCUUUGGGCCGUGAACGGCUGGGAGUUGAGGACAACGCUACCGGCAUCGCAUUCCUCCAUUCGAAUCCAGCCUGCUGGCGCCACGCAGCAAGCAACAGUGGCCUGGACUUCAGACAUCAGGUUGGAACCAGAGCUGAGCAAACGGAACAGGCAGAGGCAGGAGAUCAGAAGGUCAGCCAACUGGGUGGAAGCAAGUAAAAACCCACAGUGGAUUUCUGAUGGCCUUAAACAGGCUUGUCUCCUGACAUUUCUUGUGAAGACUGAAGGAAAUAAUGCGUGUGAAAGUCUGCUGUAAACUGCUGUUAUUCCCUGUCCACCUGUUGUCCCUCCUAAGCAGGCUAAAAACAAAAGCACCCUGUCAAGGCAUUAAUGUCAUAUGCAACCUGCUUGGAAGUCUGCCAUGCUCCAAAGGGCAGGAAGGAGUGGGAAGGACUGGCCCCAUUCACCCAGCCUGGCCUUCCUGUUGGGUUGUGACAUGACAGCACCACUUACAUAGCUGAAGGCGUUGGGAAUGUUGGAAUGGAGGGAGGAGCCCACAUGAAUGAUUCAGGAGGCUAUGCUGCCUCUGCUCUUUCUUCCCUGUUGGCCUGUCAGCUGCUCUGAGUAGCAAAGAGAGAAGAAAUCUGUAAAAUUCUUCUCAGUCAU